rnacentral:rRNA from 1 species
UACGUAGGGUGCAAGCGUUGUCCGGAAUUAUUGGGCGUAAAGAGCUCGUAGGCGGUUUGUCGCGUCUGCUGUGAAAACCCGAGGCUCAACCUCGGGCCUGCAGUGGGUACGGGCAGGCUGGAGUUCGGUAGGGGAGACUGGAAUUCCUGGUGUAGCGGUGAAAUGCGCAGAUAUCAGGAGGAACACCGGUGGCGAAGGCGGUUCUCUGGGCCUUACCUGACGCUGAGGAGCGAAAGCGUGGGGAGCGAACAGG